rnacentral:rRNA from 1 species
CCCUUAGAUGUCCUGGGCGGCCCGCGCGCCACAAUGUCAGCUACUGAAGGUUAAUGCUUUGAAAGAGAGCGCGCUCUCCUUUUAAUUGCUCGCAUGCUGGGAUAAAUGAAUGCAAUUUUGUUUUGAACGAGGAAUUCCUAGUAGCCAUGUUUCACUAGAAGAUGGCGAAUGCGUCCCUGCCCUUUGUACACACCGCCCGUCGCUCCUACCGAUGAGCGUUUUGGCGAAGACGGUUUGAGUAGCUGCGUAAUUUCGUGUUGUUGACUCCGGCAGUUUGAGCCUUCACGUUUAGAGGAAGGAGAAGUCGUAACA